CGUAUACUUGUGUUUGUUGGGUGAACCACCACUCUCGAAAGAGAUGAAAAGAGGGGGCGAGGAGAAGAGCGCUCUUGCAGCAUUGGAUGCUGGGAGGAAAGAGAAGUAGGCGAGUAAGGGUUGGCGAGGAGGGUGGUGGCGUCAACGGGGUGUGACUCGCAAAAGGAGGAAAUCUAUUGCCGGAAGUGAGUAUAUUCAAGCGGCAGUCUGCGGUGCGUGUAUGGAAAUUCGAGACCGCCCUACCACGAAAGGGUCCUUCCCGAAACCCAAGGGAAGCCGCACGCGACGACGAUUUGCUCGAAGAAGAAAAAAGAACGGAAAGACUGCAGAAGAAAAAGAAAAAGAAAAAGAAAAAGAAGGUA